rnacentral:rRNA from 1 species
GUGCCAGCCGCCGCGGUAAUACGUAGGACGCAAACGUUGUCCGGAUUUACUGGGUGUAAAGGGUGCUCAGGCGGUCUUGUAAGUCAGUGGUGAAAUCCCGGAGCUCAACUCCGGAACUGCCUUUGAUACUACAAGGCUUGAGUAUGGAAGAGGUGGAUGGAAUUUCUGGUGUAGCAGUGAAAUGCGUAGAUAUCAGAAAGAACACCAGUGGCGAAGGCGGUCUACUGGUCCAUUACUGACGCUAAAGCACGAAAGCAUGGGGAGCAAACAGGAUUAGAAACCCCCGUAGUCC